AUCCGCGCCGUAUUAGCUAGUUGGUUAGGUGACGGCUUACCUAGGCAACGAUACGUAGCUGACCUGAGAGGGUGAUCGGCCACACUGGAACUGAGACACGGUCCAGACUCCUACGGGAGGCAGCAGUAGGGAAUCUUCCGCUAUGGGCGAAAGCCUGACGGAGCAACGCCGCGUGAGUGAUGAAGGUCUUCGGAUCGUAAAACUCUGUUAUCAGGGAAGAACAAAUGUGUAAGUAACUGUGCACAUCUUGACGGUACCUGAUCAGAAAGCCACGGCUAACUACGUGCCAGCAGCCGCGGUAAUACGUAGGUGGCAAGUCGUUAUCCGGAAUUAUUGGUGCGUAAAGCUCUCGUAGGCGGUUUUUUUAAGUCUGAUGUGAAAGUCCCACGGUCUCAACCGUGGAGGGUCAUUGGAAACUGGAAAACUUGAGUGCAGAAGAGGAAAGUGGAAUUCCAUGUGUAGCGGUGAAACUGUCGCAGAGAUAUGGAGGAACACCA
rnacentral:rRNA from 1 species